UGAGUUGGCCGGGUGACCGCGGCAUGGCACUUCGGUGACCGUGUCGAGGAAAGUCGGGACUCCACAGGGCAGAGUGCUGGCGCGAGCCAGGUCGGGGUGACCUGACGGAUAGUGCAACAGAGAGAGACCGCCGAUGGGCCAGUUCGCUGGCCACAGGCAAGGGUGCAACGGUGCGGUAAGAGCGCACCAGCGUGCGGGGCGACCAGCACGGCUGGCAAACCCCACUCGGAGCAAGGCCAAGCAGAGAGGAUGGGCUGCCCGUCCAGCCGGUUCGCCGGCUACCUCUCGGGUAGGCCGCCUAGAGGGAUGGUCACCGGCGCUUCGGCGUCACAGAAUCCCGCUUACAGGCCGACUCACCAU
rnacentral:RNase_P_RNA from 1 species